UACAGAGGGCGCGAGCGUUGUCCGGAAUCACUGGGCGUAAAGGGCGCGUAGGUGGCGGCAUAAGGCUGUGGUGAAAGUCCGGGGCUCAACUCCGGAUCGGCCGUGGCAACUGUGUCGCUAGGGCACCGUAGAGGCAGAUGGAAUUCCGGGUGUAGCGGUGGAAUGCGUAGAGAUGUGGAGGAACACCGAUGGCGAAGGCAGCCCCCUGGGCUAACACUGACGCUCAUGCACGAAAGCGUGGGGAGCAAACAGG
rnacentral:rRNA from 1 species